rfam:Oryza barthii chromosome 6, whole genome shotgun sequence.
CCCAAAAAAAAACUUAGGUUUUCGCGUCUAAUGUUUGACCGUCCAUCUUAUUUGAAAAAAAUUAAAAACAUAAGUCAUGCAUAAAGUAUUAUUCAUGUUUUAUCAUUUAACAAUAAUAAUAACACCAAUCAUAAAAAAAAUUUAUAUAAGACGGACGGUCAAACGUUGGACACGGAAACCCAAGAAUUGAGUCUUU